UACGAAGGGAGCUAGCGUUGUUCGGAAUCACUGGGCGUAAAGCGCACGUAGGCGGAUGUGUCAGUCAGGGGUGAAAUCCCGGAGCUCAACUUCGGAACUGCCCUUGAUACAGCACAUCUGGAGUCCGGAAGAGGUGGGUGGAAUUCCUGGUGUAGCGGUGAAAUGCGCAGAUAUCAGGAAGAACACCCGUGGCGAAGGCGGCUCUCUGGGACGGUACUGACGCUGAGGCACGAAGGCCAGGGGAGCAAACGGG
rnacentral:rRNA from 1 species